AAUCCGUGGUGCGGGCAUUUUUUAAUCAGCAUUUUGAAACAUUCUUACGCCUCAUAGAAACAUUUCCCUCCAUCUAUCUAAAAACAACAACCUCUUUUCUUAGUUG
rnacentral:snoRNA from 1 species